rnacentral:tRNA from 3 species
GGAGAGGUGCCAGAGUGGUUGAAUGGGACGGUCUCGAAAACCGUUGUGGGCUUCGGUCCACCGAGGGUUCGAAUCCCUCCCUCUCCGCUA